rnacentral:ribozyme from 12 species
UUUUUUUUUUUUUUUUUAUUAUUUUUUUUUUUUUUUUUUUUGGUACAAUAAUUUAUUA